UACGUAGGGGGCAAGCGUUGUUCGGAAUUACUGGGCGUAAAGGGCGCGUAGGCGGCACAGCAAGUCGGAAGUGAAAGCCCGGGGCUCAACCCCGGAAUGUCUUUCGAAACUGCUGAGCUAGAGUGCAGAAGAGGCAACUGGAAUUCCCAGUGUAGCGGUGAAAUGCGUAGAUAUUGGGAAGAACACCUGAGGCGAAGGCGGGUUGCUGGGCUGACACUGACGCUGAGGCGCGAAAGCCAGGGAGCAAACGGG
rnacentral:rRNA from 1 species